UGGGGAAUAUUGGACAAUGGGGGAAACCCUGAUCCAGCAAUGCCGCGUGUGUGAAGAAGGCCUGAGGGUUGUAAAGCACUUUCAGUGGGGAGGAGGACUGUCUGGUUAAGAGCUGGAUAGAUGGACGUUACCCACAGAAGAAGCACCGGCUAACUCCGUGCCAGCAGCCGCGGUAAUACGGAGGGUGCGAGCGUUAAUCGGAAUUACUGGGCGUAAAGGGUGCGCAGGUGGUUUGAUAAGAUAUCUGUGAAAUCCCCGGGCUUAACCUGGGAAGGUCAGAUAAGACUGUCAGACUCGAGUACGGGAGAGGGUAGUGGAAUUUCCGGUGUAGCGGUGAAAUGCGUAGAGAUCGGAAGGAACACCAGUGGCGAAGGCGGCUACCUGGCCUGAUACUGACACUGAGGCACGAAAGCGUGGGGAGCAAACAGGAUUAGAUACCCCCGUAGUCC
rnacentral:rRNA from 1 species